UCGCCUGUUUAUCAAAAACAUCGCCUCUUGAAUUUAUAUAAGAGGUCCAGCCUGCCCAGUGACCCUGUUCAACGGCCGCGGUAUCCUAACCGUGCGAAGGUAGCGUAAUCACUUGUUCUCUAAAUGUGGACUAGUAUGAAUGGCAUCACGAAGGUUAUACUGUCUCCUUUUUCUAAUCAGUGAAACUAAUCUCCCCGUGAAGAAGCGGGGAUAAUACUAUAAGACGAGAAGACCCUAUGGAGCUUUAAACAGUACAGCAUCUGCCCCAUAACACUAAAAUUUCUGAAUAAAAACUUCAUCGGACAGUAUGACUGCGAGUUUUUGGUUGGGGUGACCACGGAGCACAAUACAACCUCCAUGCUGAAAGAAAAUUUCUAAGCCAAGGUCUACAAACCUAAGCAUCAACACAUUGACAUCCAUUGACCCAAUACACUUGAACAACGAACCAAGUUACCCUAGGGAUAACAGCGCAAUCCACUUCAAAAGCUCCUAUCGACAAGUGGGUUUACGACCUCGAUGUUGGAUCAGGGUCUCCCAGUGGUGCAGCCGCUACUAAAGGUUCGUUUGUUCAACGAUUAAAACCCUACGUGA
rnacentral:rRNA from 1 species